rnacentral:lncRNA from 1 species
CCCGCGGCCCUCCGGUUCCCCCGGGGCGGGGUCGCGGUCACAGCCGGUGUCACAAUCCCGGGGGUCCCGGUGCUGCUGUCCCGGGGGUCCCGCUCAGGACAGGUGUCCCCAUCCCGGUCAGAGCAUUGUCCCCAUCCCGCUGUCUCUGGUCAGAACGGCUGUCCCGAUCCCGGUGUCCCCGGUAGGAGGCGGCGGCCAGCACGUCCUCCAGCGGCGCCGCCAGCGCCAGCCGCCCCUCGUACAUGAACUCGAGCAGCAGCGCGAAGGCCGGCGCGGUGACGAUGUCGCUGUUGAGCGCCACCACGGCGCCCCGCGCUCCUCCCGCGCCGCCCGGCUCGGCGUAGCACAGGUGGAAGAAGGAGCUGCAGGCGGCCAGCACGGCGCGGUGCGCGGGGAACGGCGCGGUGCCCACCAGCACCGUGCAGUCGCACAGGAUCCCCCGGGAGCGCUGCUCGCGCAGCCCCCGCAGCAGCUGCCGGCUGUGCUCGGGGAACUCCAUCGGGGCUGG